rnacentral:rRNA from 4 species
CGGAAUCGCUAGUAAUCGUGGAUCAGAAUGCCACGGUGAAUACGUUCCCGGGCCUUGUACACACCGCCCGUCACACCAUGGGAGUGGGUUGCAAAAGAAGUAGGUAGCUUAACCUUCGGGAGGGCGCUUACCACUUUGUGAUUCAUGACUGGGGUGAAGUCGUAACAAGGUAACCGUAGGGGAACCUGCGGUUGGAUCACCUCCUUA